rnacentral:rRNA from 1 species
AAAACUUUCAACAACGGAUCUCUUGGUUCCCGCAUCGAUGAAGAACGCAGCGAAAUGCGAAAAUUAAUGUGAAUUGCAGAAUUCCGUGAAUCAUCGAGUCUUUGAACGCACAUUGCGCCCUUUGGUAUUCCGAAGGGCAUGCCUGUUCGAGCGUC